GCAGAAGCAGUUGUGCAAGCCCUGGACUUUAAAGGAGAAGUGGUGUUUGAUACCAGUAAAGCAGACGGCCAGUUCAAAAAGACAGCCAGCAAUGCAAAGCUGCACCGCAACCUGCCGGACUUCACCUUCACACCCUUCAAAAAAGCUUUAAAGGAAACCUGUGAUUGGUUUGUUGCCAACUAUGACACAGCCAGGAAGUGAACACUCUGCCAAUCAAUUAGGUACAAAGUCGGGCGAUCUAUGACCCGCUUUGUUGGAAGAGGUGUAGAGGGCUGGAAGAAAGCAAGGUGGCUCAUGUGCUAAGGUAGAUGGAUGUGAGUGGAUUGUGUGUUUGUUAGAUUCAGCCACUCAAUGAGCUAGACUAAACAUCUCACUUCAAGUCUGCAACACUUCUCUUUAUAUAAUGAAUGAGAAACAAUUUGUCUACCGAACUGUACGUAGAAUUUUGUUCACUAUGGCAGUGUUAAUUAUAAGUAAAGUUAAUUGGGAGUUCAAUCUGUCGGUUUUAGUCUUUUUCAGCAUUUUCAUCACUUACAUCUUAAAGGUUUUAAGUUUAUUCACUGUAUUUAUUGAACAAAAAUGUUAUGUACUGUUUGAAUAGUGGAUUGGAUGUCUUUUUACUCAGUAUGUUUGCACUGAGCAAAUUAAAUGAUUUAUAUCAGUAAU